UUCCGGUUGAUCCUGCCGGACCUGACUGCUAUCGGAUUGGUACUAAGCCAUGUGAGUCGUUGCAGCAAUGCAAGGCAGACGGCUCAGUAACACGUAGUCAACCUAACCUAUGGACGGGGAUAACCUCGGGAAACUGAGAAUAAUACCCGAUAGAUCAUGAUACCUGGAACGGUUUAUGGUUCAAAUGAUUUAUCGCCAUAGGAUGGGACUGCGGUCUAUCAGCUUGUUGGUGAGGUAAUGGCCCACCAAGGCUAUAACAGGUACGGGCUCUGAGAGGAGAAGCCCGGAGAUGGGUACUGAGACACGGACCCAGGCCCUAUGGGGCGCAGCAGGCGAGAAACCUUAGCAAUGUGCGAAAGCACGACUAGGUUAAUCCGAGUGAUUUCUGCUGAAGAAAUCUUUUGUCAGUUCUAAAAAUACCGAUGAAUAAGGGGUGGGCAAGUCUGGUGUCAGCCGCCGCGGUAAAACCAGCACCUCAAGUGGUCAGGAGGAUUAUUGGGCCUAAAGCAUCCGUAGCCGGCUCUGCAAGUUUUCGGUUAAAUCCACUUGCUCAACAAAUGGGCUGCCGGAGAUACUACAAAGCUAGGGAGCGGGAGAGGUAGACGGUAUUCGGUAGGAAGGGGUAAAAUCCUUUGAUCUAUUGAGGACCACCGAUGGCGAAGGCAUCCCACCAGAACGGGUCCGACGGUGAGGGACGAAAGCUGGGGGAGCAAACCGGAUUAGAUACCCGGGUAGUCCCAGCUGUAAACGAUGCAGACUCGGUGAUGCACUGGCUUGUGGCCAGUGCAGUGCCGCAGGGAAGCCGUUAAGUUUGCCGCCUGGGAAGUACGUACGCAAGUAUGAAACUUAAAGGAAUUGGCGGGGGAGCACCACAAGGGGUGAAGCCUGCGGUUCAAUUGGAUUCAACGCCGGA
rnacentral:rRNA from 1 species